rnacentral:lncRNA from 1 species
UGAUUUGCUGCUUAUUCUUUUUCAUUGUUGACAUUAGUUGACAGCUGACUGAAAUUGUUAAAAUUCAAUGUUGGUUAUGAUCUAUAAUAUUUACAAGUUUUGGUUGCAAAUUUGAAAAUUUAAUGAGUUCGGGUGAGAAAUUAAAUGACUAUCAGUUAAAGUUUAGGUAUGAAAAAGUAUCCAACAUGUAGUUUAGGUUUG